rnacentral:rRNA from 1 species
UGCAAGUCGAGGGGUAUAAGGAGCUUGCUUCUUAGAGACCGGCGGAUGGGUGAGUAACGCGUAUGCAACCUACCUUUUACAGGGGAAUAGCCCGGAGAAAUUCGGAUUAAUGCUCCAUGGUUUAUAGAGAUGGCAUCAUUUUUAUAAUAAAGAUUUAUCGGUAAAAGAUGGGCAUGCGUAUCAUUAGCUAGUUGGUGUGGUAACGGCAUACCAAGGCUACGAUGAUUAGGGGUCCUGAGAGGGAGAUCCCCCACACUGGUACUGAGACACGGACCAGACUCCUACGGGAGGCAGCAGUGAGGAAUAUUGGUCAAUGGAGGCAACUCUGAACCAGCCAUGCCGCGUGCAGGAUGACGGUCCUAUGGAUUGUAAACUGCUUUUGUACGGGAAGAAAUGUAAUUACGUGUAAUUAUUUGACGGUACCGUAAGAAUAAGGAUCGGCUAACUCCGUGCCAGCAGCCGCGGUAAUACGGAGGAUCCGAGCGUUAUCCGGAAUUAUUGGGUUUAAAGGGUUCGUAGGCGGUUUAGUAAGUCAGUGGUGAAAUCUUACAGCUUAACUGUAAAAUUGCCGUUGAUACUGCUAGACUUGAAUAGUAUGGAAGUAAUUAGAAUAUGUAGUGUAGCGGUGAAAUGCUUAGAUAUUACAUGGAAUACCAAUUGCGAAGGCAGAUUACUACGUACUUAUUGACGCUGAUGAACGAAAGCGUGGGUAGCGAACAGGAUUAGAUACCCUGGUAGUCCACGCCGUAAACGAUGGAUACUAGCUGUUCGGUUUUCGGACUGAGUGGCUAAGCGAAAGUGAUAAGUAUCCCACCUGGGGAGUACGUUCGCAAGAAUGAAACUCAAAGGAAUUGACGGGGGCCCGCACAAGCGGUGGAGCAUGUGGUUUAAUUCGAUGAUACGCGAGGAACCUUACCAAGGCUUACAUGUAGAUUGACAGGUUUAGAGAUAGACUUUUCUUCGGACAA